UAAGUAAGGAAGUCACAUUUCAUCGUCUUCUUCGACGCCUCUGAAGAAUAAAAGUGAUACCCUUUUUUCCCCAUCUGCAGAGUGCUGGUCUUGCACCUGAAGCGCUUUGUGUUUUUUUCAAUCUUUGGGUCCAUAAAGGUGCGUCGCCCUGUUUACCUUACAAAAGACCUGGUGCUGUCAUCCAAACAGGGAGUGGCGUGCUACAGUUUGGUCAGUGUGAUCAGUCAUACUGGCUUUACAACAAGCAGCGGACACUACAUCAGUGAUGGGGUGGACCCGGCGGUGCAGGAAGAGGACCCGAAUGAUCGCUGGUUUACCUACAAUGACUUAGAAGUCCAAGAAACGAGUUGUGCUUCUGUGUGCAACCAGCGGCAAACAACUGCCUACAUCCUUUUCUACAGAAAGCACGAAUAGAAGGAUCUGCAACUCACCAAACGGUGUUUGAUAGGUUCUCUGCUCCUCCCUUAGCCUGUAGGUCCUAGACAUGAACCCACAGAUCUGAUGAUAUGGCCACACAUCUGUCACUGAUACAAGAGCCUAAGUCUUGGAUGUGAGCAUAGCACCAAGGGGUACCAUAAUAAGGUUUAGCACCCAGGACAAUAAGACAAAGGCAGCCUGAGUCGAUAGCCCUCAUGAGAACUCCACCAUGCUGAUACUCAGCUAAGAGACAUUUUUGAGUGUCCCCA